rnacentral:lncRNA from 10 species
CAGAAACGGGGUUUCACCAUGUUAGCCAAGAUGGUCUCGAUCUCCUGACCUCGCGAUCCGCCCGCCUUGGCCUCCCAAAGUGCUGGGAUUAUGCAUUCUCUCUUUACAUCACAAUGACCAUGACCUUGGAUAUGGAGUCCACUCAAAAGUAAUCUGAACUAAUAAACAAAUUCUGCAAGGUUGAAGAAUACAAGGUCAAUAAAAAUAAUUAAUUAUAUUUCUAUGUGAUACAAUAAACAAUCUUAAAAUUAAGAAAAAAAAUUCAUUUACAGUAGAAUAACAAAAAAAUACUUAAAAAUAAGUUUAAUCGUGAGAUACAAAUUGGUACCCUGAAAACUACAAAACAUUCCUGAACAAUA